CCACGCCGUUAAACCCCAACUUCUGAAUGUUGACCUCGGAUCAGGUAGGAAUACCCGCUGAACUUAAGCAUAUCAAUAAGCGGAGGAAAAGAAACCAACAGGGAUUGCCCUAGUAACGGCGAGUGAAGCGGCAACAGCUCAAAUUUGAAAUCUGGCUCUCGGGCCCGAGUUGUAAUUUGUAGAGGAUACUUUUGAUGCGGUGCCUUCCGAGUUCCCUGGAACGGGACGCCAUAGAGGGUGAGAGCCCCGUCUGGUUGGAUGCCAAAUCUCUGUAAAGUUCCUUCAACGAGUCGAGUAGUUUGGGAAUCUCGUCCAAAUGGGAGAGAGUACUUGG
rnacentral:rRNA from 1 species